GACGAACCGAGCGAACAUUGUUCGGAAUCACUGGGCUUAAAGGGCGCGUAGGCGGCUUGGCAAGUGGAUGGUGAAAUCCCUCGGCUUAACCGAGGAACUGCCAUCCAGACUGCUUUGCUUGAGGCCGGGAGAGGUGAGUGGAAUUCCCAGUGUAGCGGUGAAAUGCGUAGAUAUUGGGAGGAACACCAGUGGCGAAGGCGGCUCACUGGACCGGUUCUGACGCUGAGGCGCGAAAGCGUGGGGAGCAAACGGG
rnacentral:rRNA from 1 species